rnacentral:lncRNA from 1 species
AAUUCUUUUAUCAAGAUCCUUUAGAAAAUAAGCUUCAUGAGGGGAAGCGAUCAUUACUUAGUAUGUAAUGCAUUGAUGCCUAGAAUGAAAUCAGCCUCCAAGACAACCUCAGAAAAGGCUUUGUUCAAAAUGACAGAGGCAUUGUCUGUCGGAUUCCUUUAAUUAUUUCAUGGAGGAGGAAAACCUACUGAACUGUUUACCAUAUAAAGCAAGACUAG